rnacentral:rRNA from 1 species
UAAUACGUAGGAUCCAAGCGCUAUCCGGAAUUACUGGGCGUAAAGCGUGCGCAGACGGUUAAGUAGGUCUUAUGCGAAAUCCGGUGGCUCAACCACCUGGACUGUAUAGGAAACCCCUUGACUUGAGGUAGGUAGAGGUACAUGGAAUUUCUGGUGUAGGAGUGACAUCCGUAGAUAUCAGAAGGAACACCAAUGGCGAAGGCAGUGUACUGGGCCUUACCUGACGUUCAGGCACGAAAGCGUGGGUAGCAAACAGGAUUAGAUACCCUGGUAGUCCACGCCGUAAACGAUGAUCACUAGUAAUGUGGGGUUUCGACCCCUUGCGUUACGAAGCUAACGCGUUAAGUGAUCCGCCUGGGGAGUACGAACGCAAGUUUA